rnacentral:rRNA from 1 species
UGGGGGCAACCCUGAUCCAGCAAUGCCGCGUGUGUGAAGAAGGCCUGCGGGUUGUAAAGCACUUUCAGUAGAGAAGAAAAGCCUCGGGUUAAUACCCCGGAGUCUUGACGUAACCUACAGAAGAAGCACCGGCUAACUCCGUG